rnacentral:rRNA from 1 species
CACGUAGUUAGCCGGGGCUUCUUCUGCAGGUACCGUCUGUUUUCGUCCCUGCUGAAAGAGGUUUACAAUCCUAAGACCUUCUUCCCUCACGCGGCAUUGCUGCGUCAGGCUUUCGCCCAUUGCGCAAGAUUCCCCACUGCUGCCUCCCGUAGGAGUCUGGGCCGUGUCUCAGUCCCAGUGUGGCUGAUCGUCCUCUCAGACCAGCUACGGAUCGUCGCCUUGGUAGGCCAUUACCCCACCAACAAGCUAAUCCGCCGCGGGCCCAUCCUUCACCACCGGAGUUUUGGUACGACACCUCAUGGCAUCGCACAUCAUGCGGUAUUAGCCGAAGUUUCCCUCGGUUGUCCCCCAGUGAAGGGCAGGUUACCACGUGUUACUCACCCGUUCGCCACUCGUGUACCCUCCGAAGAGGGCCUUACCGUUCGACUUGCAUGUGUUAGGCAUGCCGCCAGCGUUCGUCCUGAGCCAGGACGUCAAACCUACU